rfam:Equus caballus chromosome 18, whole genome shotgun sequence.
GGAUGUGAGGGUGAUCUGGCUGUGAGAUCUGUCACCCCAUUGAUUCCAGGGUUGAUUCGGCUGAUCUGGCUGACUAGAUGGGUGUCCACUUCCUCCCUCACUGCUCCAUGUAUGUCCCUCCUGAAGCUUCACCCUUGGUCCAAGAAGAUGACCUUCCCUGAUAGAGGAGGCCUGUUCUUCAGUCAAGGGAAUACGAAAGCUGCGCUCCCCUGCUAGCACCUCCAAACAAGCUCUCAUGGUCCCUUUGUAGGAGAACGGAGGGUAGUCAAGCUUCCAAGACUCCAGACACGUCCAAACAAGGCACUUUACGUGGCAGUCUGCCUUGCUUG